CCAACUUAAAGUGCUUUACAAUCCGAAGACCUUCUUCACACACGCGGCAUGGCUGGAUCAGGCUUUCGCCCAUUGUCCAAUAUUCCCCACUGCUGCCUCCCGUAGGAGUCUGGACCGUGUCUCAGUUCCAGUGUGACUGAUCAUCCUCUCAGACCAGUUACGGAUCGUCGCCUUGGUGAGCCAUUACCUCACCAACUAGCUAAUCCGACCUAGGCUCAUCUGAUAGCGCAAGGCCCGAAGGUCCCCUGCUUUCUCCCGUAGGACGUAUGCGGUAUUAGCGUCCGUUUCCGAGCGUUAUCCCCCACUACCAGGCAGAUUCCUAGGCAUUACUCACCCGUCCGCCGCUCGCCACCAGGUACAAGUACCCGUGCUGCCGCUCGACUUGCAUGUGUUAGGCCUGCCGCCAGCGUUCAAUCUGAGCCAUGAUCAAACUCUA
rnacentral:rRNA from 1 species